UCAUAAACUUCACAAUCUUUUGCUUAGGUGUUGCCUUCGUGGGAGCCUUAGCAGCAGCCAUUGCUAUCUUUUCAGAUGCUUGCUUAGCAUUUUUUGCUUCCUUGGCAGCCCUGAUGGCUUGUUCUUGUUGAGCCUUCCUAAUUUCAGUUUUCUGAUUCCUCUUGGCCAUUAUAUCAGCAAGAGAUACACCAGUGAUGGCCCUCUGGAAUUUAACUGCAUGGUGGGCUCUUUUCUUUUGAAUUUAUUCCAACUGUCCCUUUUUGUGCUUUCUUCUGUAGAGGACAGUCCAGUUUAUCUGCUGAAAAUUCCUCGGCAAAGCACAACUCUGAACUCCCA